UACAAUCUCCAUUUUGGUCGUGCUUGUUUGUUUUUAUAUCUCGACAUAACAAGAUGGUUGUUCUUGCUGCUUCCAUCGUAACCAAGUCUGGGAAAGUACUUGUUUCUAGACAAUUUGUGAACAUGUCUCGCAUAAGAAUAGAAGGUCUUCUUGCAGCUUUCCC